CUGACCAAGCUCCUUAACAGAGGACAACCAGCCUGAUUGAUUCCAUCCCUUGGAGAAAAACACUUUGACAGAAGAAAUCUGUAGGCAAGAUCAGUUGCCAGCAAAAAUGCAAAAUAAUGUAGCAUCUGAUUCAGCUGGUCUGAGGAAGUCUCCAAGAACUUGCUUUUCUAACAAGUUUCCAGGUCAUGUGAAAGCUACUGGGACCACACUUUGAGAACCAUUGUUCCAAACCUUGACAGGAGAGAUUCCAUCCUACAGUUUAUUAAGAAUGUAUAGUUAUACUAAA